CAAAAACAUAGCYAAMUGAAMUUAUAUUUAGUGCCUYCUGCUCAAUGACAUGUUCAAUAGCCGCAGUACUCUGACUGUGCAAAGGUAGCAUAAUCAAUUGGCUUAUAAUUGAAGUCUGGGAUGAAAGGAUACACGGGGAAUUACUGUAUCCGGUGUUUAUAAUGAAUUUACUUAUCAAGUGCAAAUACUUGUAUCUAACUGUUAGACGAGAAGACCCUAGAAAUUUGAAUAAUUGUUUAGUUGGGGCAACGUAGCAGGAAAUAACCUGCAGUAAGGACAUGAAAUUGGCUAGGAAGACUAAAUUACUCUAGGGAUAACAGCAUAAUUUCAAAAAGUUUGUGACCUCGAUGUUGGAUUUGGGAAUUAUAGUUCAGAAGACUACUAAUACUGCUCUGUUCGAGCACUAUCC
rnacentral:rRNA from 1 species